rnacentral:sRNA from 1 species
AUUCAUCUAUCUGCAUCUGCUUACACAUCUCUACUUAUUGUCUGAUAUGAGAAGCUGUUAUAGAUCACUAAGCUGAAGUUGUCACAGGUAGUACUGAUGGAAUUGGAAAAUCAUAUGCAGAAGAGUUAGCAAAGCAUGGAAUGAAGGUUGUCCUUAUCAGCAGAUCAAAGGAUAAACUUGACCAGGUUUCCAGUGAAAUAAAAGAAAAAUUCAAAGUGGAGACAAGAACCAUUGCUGUUGACUUUGCAUCAGAAGAUAUUUAUGAUAAAAUUAAAACAGCCUUGGCUGGUCUUGAAAUCGGCAUCUUAGUGAACAACGUGGGAAUGUCGUAUGAGUAUCCUGAAUACUUUUUGGAUGUUCCUGACUUGGACAAUGUGAUCAAGAAAAUGAUAAAUAUUAAUAUUCUUUCUGUUUGUAAGAUGACACAAUUGGUACUGCCUGGCAUGGUGGAAAGAUCCAAAGGGGCUAUUCUGAACAUUUCAUCUGGCAGUGGCAUGCUCCCUGUCCCACUCUUGACCAUCUAUUCUGCAACCAAGACUUUUGUAGAUUUUUUCUCUCAGUGCCUCCAUGA